rnacentral:rRNA from 1 species
CGAAAGCCUGACGGAGCAAGACCGCGUGGGGGAAGAAGGCUCUUGGGUUGUAAACCCCUUUUCUCUGGGAAGAAAGUUGUGAAAGCAACCUGACGGUACCAGAGGAAUCAGCAUCGGCUAACUCCGUGCCAGCAGCCGCGGUAAGACGGAGGAUGCAAGCGUUAUCCGGAAUGAUUGGGCGUAAAGCGUCCGCAGGUGGCAGUUCAAGUCUGCUGUCAAAGACCGGGGCUUAACUUCGGAAAGGCAGUGGAAACUGAACAGCUAGAGUAUGGUAGGGGCAGAGGUAAUUCCUGGUGUAGCGGUGAAAUGCGUAGAGAUCAGGAAGAACAUCGGUGGCGAAGGCGCUCUGCUGGGCCGUAACUGACACUCAUGGACGAAAGCUAGGGGAGCG